UACGUAGGGGGCGAGCGUUGUCCGGAUUUAUUGGGCGUAAAGAGCUCGUAGGCGGUUUGGUAAGUUGGAUGUGAAAUCUCCAGGCUCAACUUGGAGGGGUCAUUCGAUACUGCCAUGACUAGAGUUCGGUAGGGGAGUGUGGAAUUCCUGGUGGAGCGGUGAAAUGCGCAGAUAUCGGGAAGAACACCCGUGGCGAAGGCGGCUUUCUGGGACGGUACUGACGCUGAGACGCGAAAGCGUGGGGAGCGAACAGG
rnacentral:rRNA from 1 species